CCUACGGGGGGCAGCAGUGAGGAAUAUUGGUCAAUGGGCGGGAGCCUGAACCAGCCAAGCCGCGUGAGGGAAGAAGGUACAGCGUAUCGUAAACCUCUUUUGUCAGGGAACAAACGCGGGGACUAGUCCCUGGAUGAGGGUACCUGAAGAAAAAGCAUCGGCUAACUCCGUGCCAGCAGCCGCGGUAAUACGGAGGAUUCAAGCGUUAUCCGGAUUUAUUGGGUUUAAAGGGUGCGUAGGCGGGCGGAUAAGUUAGCGGUAAAAUCCCGGGGCUCAACCCCGGGCGGGCCUUUGAUACUGUCGGGCUGGAGUUCAGUUGAGGUAGGCGGAAUGCAUGGUGUAGCGGUGAAAUGCUUAGAGAUCGUACAGAACCCCGAUUGCGAAGGCAGCGUACCA
rnacentral:rRNA from 1 species